AUAACGGUCCUAAGGUAGCGAAAUUCCUUGUCAGGUAAGUUCUGACCCGCACGAAAGGCGUAACGAUUUGGGCGCUGUCUCAACAAGAAACUCGGUGAAAUCAUAGUACCUGUGAAGAUGCAGGUUACCCGCGAUCAGACGGAAAGACCCCAUGGAGCUUCACUGCAACUUAAUAUUGAUAUUGGGUGUGUGAUGUACAGGAUAGGUGGGAGACAAAGAAGCGAGUACGCUAGUAUUCGUGGAGUCAACCUUGGGAUACCACCCCUCGCACAUUUAGUAUCUAACUAGUUUCCAUAAGCUGGGAAUAGAACAGUGUUAGGUGGGCAGUUUGACUGGGGCGGUCGCCUCCCAAAGAGUAACGGAGGCGCCCAAAGGUUCCCUCAGAAUGGUUGGAAAUCAUUCAUAGAGUGUAAAGGCAGAAGGGAGCUUGACUGCGAGACGGACAGGUCGAGCAGGAACGAAAGUUGGGCUUAGUGAACCGGCUGUGCUGAAUGGAAAGGCAGUCGAUCAACGGACAAAAGCUACCCUGGGGAUAACAGGCUGAUCUCCCCCAAGAGUUCACAUCGACGGGGAGGUUUGGCACCUCGAUGUCGGCUCAUCGCAUCCUGGGGCUGUAUUCGGUCCCAAGGGUUUGGCUGUUCGCCAAUUAAAGCGGUACGCGAGCUGGGUUCAGAACGUCGUGAGACAGUUCGGUCCCUAUCUGUCGUGGGCGUAGGAAAUUUGAAGGGAGUUGUCCCUAGUACGAGAGGACCAGGAUGAACGCACCGCUGGUGCACCAGUUGGCUUGCCAAGGCCACAGCUGGGUAGCUACGUGCGGCCGGGAUAAACGCUGAAAGCAUCUAAGCGUGAAGCCCCCCCUGAGAUGAGAUUUCCCAUUAGAAAUAAGUAAGACCCCUUAGAGAUGAUGAGGUUGAUAGGUCAGAGAUGUAAGCACUGCGAGGUGUUGAGUUGACUGAUACUAAUAGGUCGAGGACUUAACCUU
rnacentral:rRNA from 1 species